CUUGUGGAGAAAAUUUAUUUCGAUAUUUGUCAGAUAGUGUGAGCUGCUGUUUCUACUGUGUAACUGUGAAGCGGAAACAAAAACUUUAAAACGGAUGGACCAGAACUCGGACGUUAGAACUGGCAGGUUUUCCGGAGCAGCGUUUCACUUUGUCCCUUCAGUGAUAAUUCGAAUUUGCAACAGUUACUGAUAAAUAACUAAUUGCUGGGCCCUCGAAUUGGAAGAAGAGGAAUAAUAAGAAUUACUUCGCUACAAGUUUUCCACCCUGCCUGUGAAGGAUAUCCAGAAACCGCUUAGAGCCCUCCCAACCUUCCAAGAGUGUCAAAAAUCCUUUUAUCGAUGUGGUUGAAGCUGAUGCCAUCAAUUUUAGACCCUAAAAAGAGACGCAUGUCAAAUUCCCGUGUUGAAACACCUGUCUACGAAAAUCAAUUGUUACUAAUGGUGGGUACCAGAUAUCCGAAGGGCUCAACAGAAUGUAACUAAAUAAAUUUUAAUAUUUUCGACAAUGCCCGACCCUGUCUUAGAAUUACUUUUUUGUUCAUCCCGAUUGCGGUCGUGAGGAACUUUCACUUCCGUACCUAUAACUGCUGCCGCGUGUCGGAGCUGAAUCAUCUCAAGUCCGACGAAAUCCAGUGAAGAUUUUCUUGAU